GGAUGUUCAAAAUUCGAGUUAGGCCAUAGAACGUUUUCCCUCAUCGUCGUCCUCGACGCACCAAAUAGACCACUGGCCGUCGCCACAUAAGUACCAAAUCGACCACCACGACUACCGUGAUCGUGAUGGCUAGGUUCCACCACCAAAUCGAUUGUCACUGACGCUACCUUUUCUGCGGGGGCCAUUCAAUCGAUUGCGACCAGAAUUGUUAUUCCAAUUGCUUGAUGAACCACUACCAAUACCAUCAACUGGACUAAACCGAAAGAAACACUAGGAAGCUUCGCUCCCCACUUUCCGACAAAUCUGGCAAAUCACCGAAUGUUGCAACUCAUUUUUCCGACCAAAAUGAGGCGGUGGUACCUUCUGAUCAAGGUCCAAAUGGCCAAAUGUAUACGAUUUACAGAGAGCAGGGAAGUAAGCACGACGCCGAGGUGUCGCCAAGAACAAUAAUACUCCAUUAUAGCCAUGGAACCGGUAUGAAGAUGUUCCAAACUUCUGACAGAUCUGGUGAAGGAAGGGCAGUAUGUUACCCUUAUUCAAAUGGAGUGCUGCCCAAUCGAUGAUCAACUGUUGACCAUGCUUACAUAUAUGGUAACUUUCUCUACCCCUCUUUCAGUAGCUUAAUGGCUUGCCUAAAUGGAGAUUGUACAAUCUAUGAAUUCAUCUCUAUGUGCAGAAUUUCUAUAACUGUUUCAUUGGGUAUCUUCUAAUCUAGAUUUGCCUGUUUUAAUAGA